GAUUGUCCUUUGCUGCAUGUUUAUCAUGUGAACUUCCAGUCUGCCCAUCUGCAAAACCACCAGGGACACAGCUGGGAGAAAUAAAAGCUAAGUCUUACCCAUGUUCUCAUGCUUGAAAGCUCUUGUAGGAUUGCUGGUGCUCAUAAAAAGACCUGAAGCUGUGAAAAUGCUCUUUUAAAAGUUAAUUCCAUUCUGAGCCAUCAUGUCUUUUCAAG